CCGUCCGAGACUAACGCGUAAACGCGCCGCCUGGGGAGUACGAUCGCAAGAUAAAACUCAAAAGAAAAUUGACGGGGACCCGCACCAAGCGGUGGAGUAUUUGGCUAAUUCGAUGCAACGCGAAGGACCCUUCCCUGGGUUUGACAUGCUUGUCGUAGUUCUGCGAAAGCAGGGACGUCAGCUCGGCUGGACAUGCACAGGGUGCUGCAUUGGCUGUCGUCAGCUCGUGUCGUGAGAUGUUUGGGUAAAGUCCCCGCAACCGAGCGCAACCCCCUGUGAAAUAGUUUGCCAGCACGUAAAUGGUGGGGGACUCUAUUUCAGACUGCCCCAGAUCAACUGGGGAGGAAAGGGUGGGGACGACGUCAAGUCAGUAUGGCCCUUAUACCCCAGGGCUGCGCACGUACUACAAUGCCCAGCACAAUGUGAACCGAUACCGCGAGGUGGAGGAAAUCCUUAAAACUGGGCUCAGUUCGGAUUGGAGGCUGCAAUUCGCCUCCAUGAAGUUGGAAUCGCUAGUAAUGGCUCAUCAGCUACGGAGCCGUGAAUACGUUCCCGGGUCUUGUACACACCGCCCGUCACAUCAUGGAAGCCCGCAGUGCC
rnacentral:rRNA from 1 species